UACGGUUACAUCACGUCUAAACACCGGUUCUCUUCCGACUACUAAAGUUAAGCAACGUUGGACCUGAUCAGUAUAUUGAUGGGUGACCGCUUGGAAAUAUCAGAUGCUGUAAG